rnacentral:sRNA from 1 species
UGUUAGACUCACUGUCUCGGAUGCCAUCGA